rnacentral:snRNA from 1 species
UUCCCAAGGGGAGGCUUCUCCAUCCCUCUCCUGCAAUUUCCCCGAAUGUGGGAAACAUGACUGCAUGAUUUUUGGUCAUGGGGGACUGC